UUGACCUCGGAUCAGGUAGGGAUACCCGCUGAACUUAAGCAUAUCAAUAAGCGGAGGAAAAGAAACCAACAGGGAUUGCCCUAGUAACGGCGAGUGAAGCGGCAACAGCUCAAAUUUGAAAUCUGGCUCUUUCA
rnacentral:rRNA from 1 species